rnacentral:tRNA from 1 species
AGCUCUGUGGUGUAUAACACGUCGGAUUGCAAAUCCGAAGAUGCCGGCUUACCGCCGACCGGGGCUU